UAAUUUUUUUCGAGAAUAUGAAAUACACUAUAAAAGAUCAAAUCAUACUCUAUAUUUCACAAUGAAAGACGAAAAACUAUGAUUGAAACUCUCAAAUUUGUUUAUGCAAUGAUUCUUUUUCUUUCCUUAUUUCUUAUCACAUCAGAAGUUGGUGGUUUGUAUAUUGGAUGUGAAACGGAUCGCGAUUAUCCACCGUUAGCAAACAAGACUUUUUAUCUGAAGUGCAUUGAUAAAAAAUGUGAAUGGACUGUCACUGAUUCUCUAAGUACAAGAUCCGGAAGAAUGCAAAAACUUUCCAUAUAAGAGAAUGAGUUUUUGAAAUGUGCAUUAUAUGUUAUGUUCGAAUAUUACAAGUGUUGUCAUUUAUUUAUUGUAUUAGAACAAUGGUUUUAUUUAUUUUUCCUAGAACCUUGCUUUUCUUAUUUUAUACUCUAAUAUUAUUGUAAGACAACAAAGAUUGUGUUUUAAUAAAAUUGUGAAAUCCCUGCAAAAUCGCAGGUUUUUACAGGAUUCUAGGAAUUAAUUUAUACGUGUCAACUUCGACCUAGUUCGCAUAAAAUCACAAAUUACCUUGGCUUUUAGGUUUUGAGUCAUUUAUGUAUAAGUAUUUUAUGAACUUGAAACUAAGUCAUUUAUGACCAUA